UGCGACAGCUACACACCAGGCUGAAAAAUGACCAUGGGCCCACCCACUUGGGGGGAUGGGGAGGUCCUGAAUAUAACCCUCUCUCUGCUACCUAAGUCAGCCAUGUAGCUGGAGAAAUAACGAGAGAUGGACCUGCAUAAAUUGUCCAGAGAAUUCUCUGUCCCAGGAUUGGAGCUGGGGGACAGGUGGGAGUGUACUAAAGGAGGCCUCCCUCUAUCAGCAUUGGAUGGAUAUCCACGUCUAGACUUUACAAGCAAGGAGUGGGCCAGGAACAUCAAGUCAGGCAUUCUCUACUGACUUCUCAGAAAGUGCAGUUGUGGCCGACACUCGGCCUAAUGCUCGAGACACCCAUAAAAGCACCUACACCCCCCA